rnacentral:rRNA from 1 species
UACGGGGGGGUAAGCGUUGUUGCGGAAUCAUUGGGCGUAAAGGGUGGUGUAGGUGGCUAUGUAAGUCAGGUGUGAAAGCCCCGGGCUCAACCCGGGAAGUGCAUCUGAUACUGCGUAGCUUGAGUACCGAAGAGGAUAGUGGAAUUCCAGGUGUAGUGGUGAAAUACGUAGAUAUCGCUUGGAACGCCGACGGCGAAAGCAGUCUGCUGGGGGUGUGCUGACGCUGAGACACGAAAGCCAGGGGAGCGAACGGG